AUUGAACGCUGGCGGCAGGCCUAACACAUGCAAGUCGAGCGGAGCGGCGGACGGGUGCGUAAUGCCUAGGAAUCUGCCUGGUAGUGGUGGAUAACGUCCGGAAACGGGCGCUAAUACCGCAUACUAUCAGAUGAGACUAGGUCGGAUUAGCUAGUUGGUGGGGUAAAGGCAUACCAAGGCGACGAUCCGUACCGGGUCUGAGAGGAUGAUCAGUAAAACUGGAACGGAGAAACGGUCCAGAUUCCUACGGGAGGCAGCAGUGGGGAAUAUUGGACAAUGGGCGAAAGCCUGAUCCAGCCAUGCCGCGUGUGUGAAGAAGGUUUUCGGAUUGUAAAGCACUUUAAGCGGGGAGGCGUUACCAACAGAAUAAGCACCGGCUAACUUCGUGCCAGCAGCCGCGGUAAUAC
rnacentral:rRNA from 1 species